rnacentral:rRNA from 1 species
AUCGUAAUCGAAACGACUCUCGGCAACGGAUAUCUCGGCUCUCGCAUCGAUGAAGAACGUAGCGAAAUGCGAUACUUGGUGUGAAUUGCAGAAUCCCGUGAACCAUCGAGUUUUUGAACGCAAGUUGCGCCCGAAGCCGUCAGGCCGAGGGCACGCCUGCC